GCCGGGCAUGGCGGCGUGUGCUUGUGGUCCCAGCUACUCGGGAGGCUGAGGCAGGAGAAUUGCUUGAGCCUGGGAGGCAGAGGUUGCAGUGAGCCGAGAUUGUGCCACUGCACUCCAGCCUGGGCAACAAAGUGAGACUCUGUCUCUA
rnacentral:SRP_RNA from 1 species